GGGUGUAUUUUGGAAAGAUUGGAAACCGCUAAUAUUGUUUUCUCAGUCUUUAUUCGCUUUCAAUAUAACUCUUAAUCAGCGGGUCGUAGGUUCGAGCCCUACAUCACCCACCA
rnacentral:tRNA from 1 species